GCCUGCUUAGCUCAGUGGUAGAGCGCGUCACUUGUACAUCACGGCGUUAUGAUCGCAUGAUAUGCAUGACGAGGUCAGUCGUUCAAACCGGCUAGUUGGCA